rfam:Aspergillus bombycis strain NRRL26010 contig00060, whole genome shotgun sequence.
UCCUCGAUGGUCUAACGGUCAUGAUUUCCGCUUGUCAUCUCAUACGAGAACAAGCGCGGGAGACCUGGGUUCGACUCCCAGUCGGGGAG